rnacentral:rRNA from 1 species
CCUACGGGAGGCUGCAGUGAGGAAUAUUGGUCAAUGGGCGGAAGCCUGAACCAGCCAAGUAGCGUGCAGGAUGACGGCCCUACGGGUUGUAAACUGCUUUUAUACGGGAAUAACGCGCCUUACGUGUAGGGCUUUGCACGUACCGUAUGUAUAAGGACCGGCUAAUUCCGUGCCAGCAGCCGCGGUAAUACGGCAGGUCCGGGCGUUAUCCGGAUUUAGUGGGUUUAAAGGGAGCGUAGGCGGGAUGGCAAGCGUGCUGUGAAAUGUCCGGGCUCAACCCGGGCCUUGCAGCGCGAACUGGAGUGCUUGAGUCCGCGGAAGGCAGGCGGAAUUCGUCGUGUAGCGGUGAAAUGCUUAGAUAUGACGAAGAACCCCGAUUGCGAAGGCAGCUUGCUGCAGCGGAACUGACGCUGAUGCUCGAAAGCGCGGGUAUCGAACAGGAUUAGAUACCCUGGUAGUC